UUUACCCUUCUGGGCUCUUUUCCCCCGGCGGCUAGUUUCAGCAUAAAAGGAAGAAGUCGGGUCCGCGCGGUUCGCCUUUUCGAAUGCAGCAGUGUUUUUGGCUUUGGCAAUACCAGCUAGCUAGCUACUUACUUGUGUGGGAGUCCUAUAAAGAAAAGCCUGAGUUAUAGACUGACUAAAGAAAUCCACCUCGGUGGAGUUCUGGGAAGGAAUGGGCUAGUAUGAGUUCUGGUUUAGUCAGUAGUUCACUUCUCC
rnacentral:lncRNA from 1 species